rnacentral:lncRNA from 1 species
UGGAGAUCCCAUUUGGAAUUAAGUCAACAUCAUUUUGGUCCCAGUGUAUCUGUAACCAAAAUGUAUUCAGGUACCAAAUAUCAAAAUUCAUUUCACUACCAGGUCAAAGACACAAUCAAAAGCCCGACAAAUGGAAUUUGUGGAAUUGGAACAAAAAGCUUUUCUUCCUAGGCACAAGAACAUCAAAGCAUAAAUCCUUCAGGUAUCAGCAAUGACAUCACUUAAGAAUUUCUCAGAAUCUUUGGCACCACCCCAGGCCUACCGGAUCAGAAUCUGAAUUUUUUAACAAGAUCUCAGAUCUAGUCAAGAGUCCAGUCUGAUUUCUCUUUAUUGGGACUACCACCCAAAGCAGAAUGAGGAUGAUGUAACCACGCCCAGUGACUUCUGGAUACCACUGACUCUAGAUCCUGAAUUCCAGCAGAAUGGCUGACACCAACUGGUCUGAAGACCCUCACCAAGGAACUGACUCAGUGCAGGAAUGCAGUUUCUUCAUCUCCCUAUCCCUGACUUCACCCCUCACUUCUCAACCAAUCAGUGAUCACCACACUUUAGGCCAUCACCUGUGUCCAGACCCCUUAAAAACCCCAUCUGCAAACCUCUUGAAGAGGCAUAUUUGAGGUUUCCUCUCAUCUCCUCAUUUGGUUUCCCUACAAUUAUUAAAUUCUUUCUCUGCUGCAACUCCUACUUUUUCAGUGUAUUGGUCUGUUACUGUGCAACAGGAAAUCAGACCUGGUGGUCCUAUAGUAAGAGUUCACAGAAUAUGAUAUACAAAGUGAUCUGUGAUAUACAAAAACCGGCACAAUCUCACUCUUAAUAAGAAAAAUUCAACUUAAAAUUAAAAGUUUUUUUUCCUCAGAAUGGCAAAGAUCAAAGUUUGAUAACAUGGUUGGAAAGUAUGCAGACCGAUAUUCUCAUAUUCAUUGAUGAAGUGUAAAUUGAUACAUCCUUUGUCAGUACGGACAGGUUUCCCAACUCUAGGGGUGAAAUUUAUACAGACUACAGUGUGAAUGACAACCACUUCAAAUUGGGUGAUAUGAUGACCUUGACUCUGUGGAGGGUCAUUUGGCAAAAUAUCUCAAAAUAAAAAUGUACAUACAAUUUGA